GCAAGUCGAACGAGAAGUUACCUUCGGGGUGAGCGGCGGACGGGUGAGUAACGCGUGGGAAUAUGCCCUUCUCUAAGGAAUAGCCUCUGGAAACGGAGAGUAAUACCUUAUACGCCCUUUGGGGGAAAGAUUUAUCGGAGAAGGAUUAGCCCGCGUUAGAUUAGGUAGUUGGUGGGGUAAUGGCCUACCAAGCCUACGAUCUAUAGCUGGUUUGAGAGGAUGAUC
rnacentral:rRNA from 1 species